CAUCUAAAUCAAUCAAACACCCAAAAACAAUCAUAUAUAGCAAGAUGUGCAAAAAAAAAUAAUAAAAGGAGCCAAGAUAAACACAGAAUUCAACAUAGCCCAAAAGCUGAUAAAAAAGCCCAACAAUUUAAAACAACACAAGAUCAAAAAGAGAGAGUAGACAUUGGGCAAGAAAAUGAAAUAUUUUUACCUUUCCUUGUUUGAUGAUACAAAAAAGGGAAAACACGCUCCCACAAUCAAUCAAACAAAACCCAGACUUUCACAAAGUUCUUAGAAAAUUACUUCAAACCAUCUUCACUUUCACACUUCAACACACACAAAACAAAAACCAUCUCUGAAUUUCCUCUUAGCACCCAAUAUUUACCAACUCUUUUUAAUUCUCUCUCUAUGAUCUAAACUGCCCAUUUAAGACAAGGAUUGAAACCCAAAGUGGCUGAUCAACAAAUGGAAGAAACAAAGAAACUCAUGUAAGAAGAAUAGAAUCUACAGAAAGAAGGAAAAGGAAAAGGUUUAAUUUAAUGGUAGAAAGCAGAGGCUGAAUCAGUACUUUACGUGUAAU
rnacentral:lncRNA from 1 species